ensembl:snoRNA
CUAGCAAUGAUGAAAAGCGCAGGGGUACGUACCUCAGCUGAUAAUGGGAGCUGAGUGUUGGUGUUCUCAGCUCAGUGGGCAUGUGGUCUGCUGACUUGGGGUGCCAACACGAUACAGACGCCUGACUGAGUCUUG